UCCCUCUUAGCUCAGUGGUAGAGCGCGUCACUAGUAUGUCACUUCACGUGUGUCAUAACAGAAUGACGAGGUCAUCUGUUCGAUCCAGGUAGCGGGAA